rnacentral:lncRNA from 1 species
GGUACGCACAGAUCGAGAGCGGGAGGAAGACGUCAACGCCUUGAUGAUCGAUGCCUACAUCGCAACCGCAGCUGCAGGGCCGGCGCACGCCUGCGGUGGAUGUGGAUACUCCCCGCCACCAGUGCAAGCCAGCACGCGUUUGUUUUAUAUUUUUUUUUUUGGUUGAGAAUUAAGCCAACACGCGAGCUGCAUGCCUGAUACCCGCCCUCCCCGAAAGUCGCGAGCACCGUCAACCAUCUGGAUCCGACAGUACCCGUACUGAAUUUGAACUUGAACUCAAGGUUCCAAUUUAUUGUUCAAGAAUUUCAGACAUCAUGUGGUAAGGAGUAGCUGAGAUUCCAAUAAUUCGGGAACAUCCGGCAUUUUUUCAUCUAGAUUUAGGGCUGGUUUUAGAGCUAGUUACUAGUUGGGCUAAAAAAUAGCUUUAAAUUAGCUAAGCUUGGCUAGCUAAUUGGAUACUCCAUCCCGUCCCGUUAUAAGGUGUAGUCAAACAUAACACCAAAUGACGAAUUGACCAUUUAUUUAUUCUACAUUAUAAUUUUUAUAUUGGAUAGUAUUUUUGAUUAUGAAUCUAAUCAUAUCAAAUUUGUAUUACAGUAGUUAAAAAUUGUUUACCAAAUUAUUUGUCAAAGAUUGUGAAGUUUGAAUUUUAUGUUGCGUGUUUACCUUACAAAUCUGCCU